UUCUGUGUGCAUUCAUAAAAAGUGGUAUCUUUUUCAUAUGAAAGUUUGGCCUUACAUGAGUAACAAUACACCCUACUGGAUAAAUUUCUAACUUGGUUUUUUUUAACCUGUGACAGACCCAUAUGAUGCAGUGGGAUGAAAGAGAAAAACAACAUGCAGCAAACAACUGGUUAGUACCUCUAUAUUAAAGCAACAAAUGCAGAAGACGUAAGUAUUACACUUGCAGCAUUGGUCUGAACUCUGAAAUAAAUAGAGAAAAACUAUUGUAGACACAGCUCGUCGUGUUACCUACUUCUGGACUUGUAGUGAAAUAUUAAACCCUAUCUUUAGACCUUACAUUCUUAUGCUUUCAAGAAAGUUCCUGUGCUUGUUGUCCAUAUUAGCCGUGAGAUGGUUGAGGAAGUCACUAAAGCUGCUCUCUUUGUACUUCUGGGGAUUUUGCUCAUCCACAAGCUCCUUGGCACAGGCGACCUUCUCAUGUAUUGCAAAACCACGAAUGCUACCUACGGAUAGCCUUGCUUCUUCAGGAUUCAGAAUGGCACGGUGAACAACAGUCUUUCCAGUUGUUGCUGUUGCGGUCAGCAACUUCAAGGCCCCGACAUCUUGUGACCAAGAUGAGUUGUGUCCACUCCAUGUUCCACCAUAAGAGAUCUGGCAAGAUUGAGUGCUGUUAAAGGCGCCUGUGUGCAGCCACAUUGUCAUAUCGGCUAUCUCCCAAAUUCUCUCUGGAAGAGCAU